GUUUUCGUGGUGUAGUUGGUUAUCACGUCAGUCUAACACACUGGAGGUCUCCGGUUCGGACCCGGGCGUAAACA
rfam:Physcomitrella patens subsp. patens PHYPAscaffold_70 genomic scaffold, whole genome shotgun sequence.